rnacentral:rRNA from 1 species
UGAGGAAUAUUGGUCAAUGGGCGCAAGCCUGAACCAGCCAUCCCGCGUGCAGGAAGACGGCCCUAUGGGUUGUAAACUGCUUUUCCAGGGGGAGAAACUUGCGCACGUGUUGCGCAAUUGACGGUACCCUGGGAAUAAGCAUCGGCUAACUCCGUGCCAGCAGCCGCGGUAAUACGGAGGAUGCGAGCGUUAUCCGGCGUCAUUGGGUUUAAAGGGUGCGUAGGCGGACUAUUAAGUCCGUGGUGAAAUCCUGCAGCUUAACUGCAGAACUGCCAUUGAUACUGAUAGCCUUGAGUUUGGUUAAGGUAGGCGGAAUGUGUAAUGUAGCGGUGAAAUGCUUAGAUAUUACACAGAACACCAAUGGCGUAGGCAGCUUACUGAGCCGACACUGACGCUGAGGCACGAAAGCGUGGGGAUCGAACA